rnacentral:misc_RNA from 1 species
GCGCAUCCCAGUCUUCCUCUGGUAAAACUUCUAAAAGUGCACUCAGUUGCUUCUGUUUCCUAUUGAAUGUUUCAACUAUCCGCCCAGAAACGUUUGUGUAAGUUUCAUUACCCAGUGUCAGGUACUCAAAAAUUUGACAAAGGGUAUCUUUAGAAACCUUAGCUUUUUCAGAGGCAAUUAAAAAGGUAAUAAAAUCUAAUAUGUAUUCGGUAUCUUUCCUUGUAGGCCAAAUGUCAGUACAUAUUUCAUCUUUAUUGUUAAUGGUACCACCAGUUUGGAAAUAACUCAGAUUAAGAAUGACUGCAAGGACAUCUACUACUUUCUGAACUAAGCUUAUGCCUUCAAUAGUUGAAAUGUUUACUUCAGUUGUUUCCGUCUUUGAAUCGGCUGGAUUUGAUGCAGGACUGUAACUUUCAUUUUCACCUUCUACAAAUGCAUAUCGCAAAACAUCCAAGGUAGCCUCUGUGUCAAUCUCUAACAGAGAGAGAAGGUUUGGGUUCGGUACAUUGUAAGGUAAGCACAUUGCUGUCGAAGAAUUUGGAGAGCUCACUUCCUCCAACAAAAAUUGC